UAGAGUUGAUCAUGGCUCAGGAUGAACGCUGGCGGCAUGCCUAACACAUGCAAGUCGUACGGAAACAGGCUCACAUUGCUCUGGUCUUUGGACAAGGGUGGCGUGAGCGCUGUCGAGUGGCGGACGGCUGAGUAACGCGUGGGAAUCCACCCCAAAGUGAGGGAUAAGCACCGGAAACGGUGUCUAAUACCGCAUAACCUCUUCGGAGAAAAGCAUUUAUGCGCUCUGGGAGGAGCCCGCGUCGGAUUAGGUAGUUGGUAGGGUAAUGGCCUACCAAGCCCACGAUCCGUAGCUGGUCUGAGAGGAUGAUCAGCCAGACUGGAACUGAGAACGGUCCAGACUCCUACGGGAGGCAGCAGGGAGGAAUCUUCCACAAUGGGCGAAAGCCUGAUGGAGCAAUGCCGCGUGCAGGAUGAAGGCCUUCGGGUCGUAAACUGCUUUUUAUUAGAGAAGAAUAUGACGGUAACUAAUGAAUAAGGGUCGGCUAACUACGUGCCAGCAGCCGCGGCCAUACGUAGGACCCA
rnacentral:rRNA from 1 species